ensembl:lncRNA
ACCCAGGUCGGUCACACUCAGAGUAGUUUGUUAAUAAUAACUAGUAUUUAAACCCAGGUCAGUCACACUCAGAGUAGUUUGUUAAUAACUAGUAUUUAAACCCAGGUCGGUCACACUCAGAGUAGUUUGUUAAUAAUAACUAGUAUUUAAACCCAGGUCGGUCACACUCAGAGUAGUUUGUUAAUAGUAACUAGUAUUUAAACCCAGGUCGGUCACACUCAGAGUAGUUUGUUAAUAACUAGUAUUUAAACCCAGGUCGGUCACACUCAGAGUAGUUUGUUAAUAGUAACUAGUAUUUAAACCCAGGUCGGUCACACUCAGAGUAGUUUGUUAAUAGUAACUAGUAUUUAAACCACCCAGGUCGGUCACACUCAGAGUAGUUUGUUAAUAGUAACUAGUAUUUAAACCCAGGUCGGUCACACUCAGAGUAGUUUGUUAAUAACUAGUAUUUAAACCCAGGUCGGUCACACUCAGAGUAGUUUGUUAAUAACUAGUAUUUAUACCCAGGUUGGUCACACUCAGAGUAGUUUGUUAAUAACUAGUAUUUAUACCCAGGUUGGUCACACUCAGAGUAGUUUGUUAAUAACUAGUAUUUAUACCCAGGUCGGUCACACUCAGAGUAGUUUGUUAAUAAUAACUAGUAUUUAAACCCAGG